rnacentral:misc_RNA from 1 species
UGGAGUUGACGGGCUCGGGCCCCUAUGUCGACGUUCUUCGGCCGGGUAGGGUGACGUCGGGCGGUGGAGAAGAAUCGGAGACCGGCGAGUGAGGGAAAUUCCAUAGAGAUUGCAUGGAGAUCUGAAAGAGGGAAGAGAAGCAAACGUUCAGAUUUGAUGGUGGAUAGGAUUGGAGAAUUAGACUGGAAAAACCUGCUGCUGCUGCUGCUGGUGGUGCAGAGGAGAUGCGAUCUGAGGCGUAAGAGGGAGGAGCGAAAGGCCAUCUUUGUUUCUCGGGAAAAAGCGAUGGAAAAGUUCUGAGCGAACGUGGAAAAAGUAGAGGUUUUGUAAGGAAGCGAAAUUAUGGCGGCUAAUCGAAGAUUCAAGGAGGG